GCCCGGGUGGUGAAACUGGUAGACACAAGGGACUUAAAAUCCCUCGACUUCGGUCGUACCGGUUCGAUUCCGGUCCCGGGCACCA
rnacentral:tRNA from 1 species